CUAGGAAUCUUGGGAAUGGGCGAAAGCCUGACCCAGCAACGCCGCGUGGGCGAUGAAGGCCUUCGGGUCGUAAAGCCCUUUUGUGAGGGACGAUGAUGACGGUACCUCACGAAUAAGCCACGGCUAACUACGUGCCAGCAGCCGCGGUAAUACGUAGGUGGCAAGCGUUGUCCGGAUUUACUGGGCGUAAAGGGCGUGCAGGCGGUCUGUUAAGUCUAGGGUGAAAGCUCCCGGCUCAACUGGGAGAGGUUCUUGGAUACUGGCGGACUUGAGGGAUGCAGAGGAAAGUGGAAUUCCCGGUGUAGUGGUGAUAUGCGUAGAUAUCGGGAGGAACACCAGUGGCGAAGGCGGCUUUCUGGGCAUUACCUGACGCUGAGACGCGAAGCGUGGGGAGCGAACCGGAUUAGAUACCCGGGUAGUCCACGCUGUAAACGAUGGACACUAGGUGUAGGGGGUAUCGACCCCCUCUGUGCCGCAGCUAACGCAA
rnacentral:rRNA from 1 species